rnacentral:rRNA from 1 species
GAUGAACGCUAGCGGCAGGCCUAAUACAUGCAAGUCGAACGGUGUCUUCGGACAUAGUGGCGCACGGGUGCGUAACACGUAUGCAACCUACCUUACAUUGGGGGAUAGCCUUUCGAAAGGGAGAUUAAUACCGCAUAAGACAGUAACUAGGCAUCUAGUAGCUGUUAAAGAUUUAUCGAUGUAAGCUGGGCAUGCGUCCAAUUAGCUAGUUGGUGAGGUAACGGCUCACCAAGGCAAUGAUUGGUAGGGGAACUGAGAGGUCAAUCCCCCACCCUGGCACUGAGAAACGGGCCAGACUCAUACGGGAGGCAGCAGUAGGGAAUAUUGGGCAAUGGACGCAAGUCUGACCCAGCCAUGCCGCGGGCAGGAUGAAGGCGUUAUGCGUUGUAAACUGCUUUUAUACAGGAAGAAACGACUCUUGCGAGAGGCAUUGACGGUACUGUAUGAAUAAGCACCGGCUAACUCCGUGCCAGCCGCCGCUGUAAUAC